GAAUCUGCCCUUUGGUUGGGGAUAACGUUUGGAAACGAACGCUAAUACCCGAUGAGCCGAGAGGUAAAAGCUUUAGUGCCAAGGGAUGAGCUCGCGUCAGAUUAGGUAGUUGGUUAGGUAAAGGCUGACCAAGCCUGUGAUCUGUAGCUGGUCUGAGAGGAUGAUCAGCCACACUGGGACUGAGACACGGCCCAGACUCCUACGGGAGGCAGCAGUGGGGAAUUUUCCGCAAUGGGCGAAAGCCUGACGGAGCAAGACCGCGUGAGGGAGGAAGGCUCUUGGGUUGUAAACCUCUUUUCUCUGGGAAGAAGCUCUGACGGUACCAGAGGAAUCAGCAUCGGCUAACUCCGUGCCAGCAGCCGCGGUAAUACGGAGGAUGCAAGCGUUAUCCGGAAUUAUUGGGCGUAAAGCGUCCGCAGGUGGUUGUGCAAGUCUGCCGUUAAAACCAGUGGCUUAACCACUGACAGGCGGUGGAAACUGCAUAACUAGAGUGUGGUAGGGGCAGAGGGAAUUCCCAGUGUAGCGGUGAAAUGCGUAGAGAUUGGGAAGAACAUCGGUGGCGAAAGCGCUCUACUGGACCACAACUGACACUCAGGGACGAAAGCUAGGGGAGCG
rnacentral:rRNA from 1 species